ACUCCUACGGGAGGCAGCAGUGGGGAAUCUUGCGCAAUGGGCGAAAGCCUGACGCAGCAACGCCGCGUGGGGGAUGAAGGCUCUCGGGUCGUAAACCCCUUUCAGCAGGGACGAAUCUGACGGUACCUGCAGAAGAAGCUCCGGCCAACUACGUGCCAGCAGCCGCGGUAACACGUAGGGAGCAAGCGUUGUCCGGAUUUAUUGGGCGUAAAGAGCUCGUAGGCGGCUCAGCAAGUCGGGUGUGAAAACUCCGGGCUCAACCCGGAGACGCCACCUGAUACUGCUGUGGCUAGAGUCUGGUAGGGGAGUGUGGAAUUCCCGGUGUAGCGGUGAAAUGCGCAGAUAUCGGGAGGAACACCAGUGGCGAAGGCGGCACUCUGGGCCAGUACUGACGCUGAGGAGCGAAAGCGUGGGUAGCAAACAGGAUUAGAUACCCUGGUAGUCCACGCCGUAAACGUUGGGCACUAGGUGUGGGGGCGUACCAAACGCUUCUGUGCCGUAGCUAACGCAUUAAGUGCCCCGCCUGGGGAGUACGGCCGCAAGGCUAAAACUCAAAGGAAUUGACGGGGGCCCGCACAAGCGGCGGAGCAUGUUGCUUAAUUCGAGGCAACGCGAAGAACCUUACCUGGGUUGAACUACGC
rnacentral:rRNA from 1 species